CCAUAGCCUUGAUAGUAGUGAAAAUCCUUUUGGAUGCCGUUUUUUUUUAACGGCAUCCAAAAGAUUGUAACGUAUAGCAAGAAAUAGC
rnacentral:sRNA from 1 species